rfam:Ciona savignyi cont_38333, whole genome shotgun sequence.
GCUUAUCACCAUUCCAGAUUGAAUAUACCCGAUCUCGUCUGAUCUCGGAAGUCAAGCAAUCUGGGGCUUGGUUAGUACUUGGAUGAGUGACCGCUUGGGAAUACCAAGUGUGAUAAGCA